rnacentral:sRNA from 1 species
CUUGGUCAUUUAGAGGAAGUAAAAGUCGUAACAAGGUCUCCGUUGGUGAACCAGCGGAGGGAUCAUUACUGAGUACUACACUCUCUACCCUUUGUGAACUAUUAUACCUGUUGCUUCGGCGGCGCCCGCGAGGGUGCCCGCCGGUCUCAUCAGGAUCUCUGUUUUCGAACCCGACGAUACUUCUGAGUGUUCUUAGCGAACUGUCAAAACUUUUAACAACGGAUCUCUUGGCUCCAGCAUCGAUGAAGAACGCAGCGAAACGCGAUAUGUAAUGUGAAUUGCAGAAUUCAGUGAAUCAUCGAAUCUUUGAACGCACAUGGCGCCUUCCAGUAUCCUGGGAGGCAUGCCUGUCCGAGCGUCGUUUCAACCCUCGAGCCCCCGUGGCCCGGCGUUGGGGAUCUGCCACGGCAGGCCCCUAAAACCAGUGGCGGACCCGAAGGCCCUCUCCUUUGCGCAGUAGCAUCAGCCUCGCAUUGGGAUCCCUCGGCGUCCUGCCUCUAAACCCCCCACAAGUCCGCUCCGGCGGCACCAAGGUUGACCUCGGAUCAGGUAGGAAUACCCGCUGAACUUAAGCAUAUCAAUAAGCGGAGGAAAAGAAACCAACAGGGAUUGCCUCAGUAACGGCGAGUGAAGCGGCAACAGCUCAAAUUUGAAAUCUGGCUCCUUCGGGGCCCGAGUUGUAAUUUGCAGAGGAUGCGUCGGGUACGGGUGCCUUCCGAGUUCCCUGGAACGGGACGCCAUAGAGGGUGAGAGCCCCGUCUGGUAGGACACCCAGCCCGUGUGACGCUCCCUCGACGAGUCGAGUUGUUUGGGA